rnacentral:rRNA from 1 species
UGGGGAAUAUUGGACAAUGGGCGAAAGCCUGAUCCAGCCAUGCCGCGUGUGUGAAGAAGGUCUUCGGAUUGUAAAGCACUUUAAGUUGGGAGGAAGGGCAUUAACCUAAUACGUUAGUGUUUUGACGUUACCGGCAGAAUAAGCACCGGCUAACUUCGUGCCAGCAGCCGCGGUAAUACGAAGGGUGCAAGCGUUAAUCGGAAUUACUGGGCGUAAAGCGCGCGUAGGUGGUUCGUUAAGUUGGAUGUGAAAGCCCCGGGCUCAACCUGGGAACUGCAUCCAAAACUGGCGAGCUAGAGUACGGUAGAGGGUGGUGGAAUUUCCUGUGUAGCGGUGAAAUGCGUAGAUAUAGGAAGGAACACCAGUGGCGAAGGCGACCACCUGGACUGAUACUGACACUGAGGUGCGAAAGCGUGGGGAGCAAACA